GCUGCUUGUCGUAGUCGGUGCCGCGCUUGGGAGCCCCUCGGUGCUCCCAGGCGCGACUGCAGUUGUUGGCUGCUCUAUGGUCUGGGGGGCCGCAUCCCCAGAACCGCGGGCAGGCUCGCCCGUUCCCUGGCUGGCAGUUUGGCCAGGGUCGACAUCCGAUGCCGCACUACAGGAACAAAAGUUAAAUUUCAAAAAAAAAAAAAGUCAAAGAGGACUCCAAAAUACGUAAGUCGAACACUUACAGGUCUGAUCGACGGUGGGUCGCGGUGAACCUCCUCCUCGCCC
rnacentral:lncRNA from 1 species